GCGCGGGGACGACCCCGCGCUGCAUCUCAAUUUCGGUCGGGACGGCCCGC
rnacentral:ncRNA from 1 species